rnacentral:lncRNA from 1 species
GUAACUAGGACGAGGUGUCAUCAUGGACUUGUAUCCAUCUUUUGGUAGGUGUCUCGGCAUUCAGUAGCUGUACAUUCAUCCGAGUCUCUCCGCUGGACAUCGAGUCUUCUUUUGUUGUGUAUAGACAAACCUAAUGUGAAUUAUUAAGAUACAUGUGUAGACAGUGUAUAUACACAUGUUUGGUAUGCCAGUAUGAAGUGGCAAUGCUUAAUAUUAUUUUGAUUCUAAGUUAUGAUAUAUGACUUAGCAAUUUAUGAUGGAAUGAUGAACAUGUCAGAUUAAUAGGCUUGCU